UGAUUAUUAGUUGAAUGGUUAGAGUCAUUGAAUUUAGUUUAAUACCAAUUAAUAAAAAAGUAAUUCGAAUCAUUCAAAAUAAU